GGCACCACCAGAUGUAAACCGUAGUUAACUCUGCAUCACAAAGCCGCCUCCUGGAGUUGACUCUCCGGGAAGGUCUGAACACCUGUGCCGGUUCAAAAGUGCUAGUCCGACCGUGAAAAAGUCGGGCGACACUCCCAAAUUGCGGGAAACUCCUAAAGCUGCUUGUACACCAAGUUGGACUGGCGACAGUCCAAUGGCCGGCUCGAAAGGGACCGGGUAAGGUAAUAGCUGAAGCAGAUGCAACAAUGGAUGAUCCGCAGCCAAGCGACUGGUUAUUGAGAACGCCAGUCGAAGGUUCAGAGACUAGAUGGGAGUGGGUUGUGCUUCUCACUUGAAAGCGCUACGCCUACAGUUUUGAAUUCAAGUGACACGAAAAAGCUCGGCUUGAGGUAUAGUCCAGCCGCGUACCAAAGUACGCGGAACAGGCAAUGGGAGCCUGCGGCUUAAUUUGACUCAACACGGGGAAACUCACCAGGUCCAGACACAUUAAGGAUUGACAGAUUGAGAGCUCUUUCUUGAUUAUGUGGGUGGUGGUGCAUGGCCGUUCUUAGUUGGUGGAGUGAUUUGUCUGCUUAAUUGCGAUAACGAACGAGACCUUAACCUGCUAAAUAGCCAGGCUAGCUUUUGCUGGUCGCCGGCUUCUUAGAGGGACUAUCGGCUCAAGCCGAUGGAAGUUUGAGGCAAUAACAGGUCUGUGAUGCCCUUAGAUGUUCUGGGCCGCACGCGCGCUACACUGACAGAGCCAACGAGUAUAAACCUUAACCGAGAGGUUUGGGUAAUCUUGUUAAACUCUGUCGUGCUGGGGAUAGGGCAUUGCAAUUAUUGCCCUUCAACGAGGAAUAUCUAGUAAGCGCAAGUCAUCAGCUUGCGUUGAUUACGUCCCUGCCCUUUGUACACACCGCCCGUCGCUACUACCGAUUGAAUGGCUCAGUGAGGCCUUCGGACUGGCUCCAGGAGGUCGGCAACGACCACCCAGAGCCGGAAAGUUGGUCAAACUUGGUCAUUUAGAGGAAGUAAAAGUCGUAACAAGGUUUCCGUAGGUGAACCUGCGGAAGGAUCAUUACCAAAACAUAGCUGUCUGGCUGCAAAGCCGUGACGCUUCAACCCUUUGUGAACCAAAAAACCUUUCGCUUCGGCAGCUGCGCGGUUGGCUUUCCAGCCGCUGCUUAAGCCUGCCGGUGGCACCAACCAAAUAAACUUGCUUUAUAAAAUAUGUCUGAUAACCAAAUUUUCGAAUGAAAAUUAAAACUUUCAACAACGGAUCUCUUGGUUCCCGCAUCGAUGAAGAACGCAGCGAAACGCGAUAGUUAAUGUGAAUUGCAGAAUUCAGUGAAUCAUCGAAUCUUUGAACGCACAUUGCGCCCAUCGGUAUUCCGUUGGGCAUGUCUGUUUGAGCGUCAUUACAACCCUCGACACCUGUCGGUUUUGAACCAGAGCGGUGAAACACCCGCCUUGGUUUUAAAGUUGUAAGCUCUGCUGGCUGCUCUGCCCAACCAAAACAUAGUAAAAAACAUACUUGUUGAAGGUGAAGCCGAAGCGGUACGGCCUGAACAAAACCUACCCAUUUCUAGUGUUUGACCUCAGAUCAGAUAAGGAUACCCGCUGAACUUAAGCAUAUCAAUAAGCGGAGGAAAAGAAACCAACAGGGAUUGCCUCAGUAACGGCGAGUGAAGCGGCAACAGCUCAAAUUUGAAAUCUGGGGCCUUCGGCUUCCGAGUUGUAAUUUGAAGAGGAUGUUUCGGUUGUGACCUGGGCCUAAGUUCCUUGGAACAGGACGUCAUGGAGGGUGAGAAUCCCGUACAUGGCUGCAGGUUUACUUCCAUGUGAAACUCCUUCGAAGAGUCGAGUUGUUUGGGAAUGCAGCUCUAAAUGGGUGGUAAAUUUCAUCUAAAGCUAAAUAUUGGCGGGAGACCGAUAGCGCACAAGUAGAGUGAUCGAAAGAUGAAAAGCACUUUGAAAAGAGAGUUAAACAGUACGUGAAAUUGUUGAAAGGGAAGCGCUUGCAAUCAGACUCGCCUUCAGUUGAUCAACGUUCCUUCUGGUGCGUGCACUCUGCUGUUGGCGGGCCAGCAUCAGUUGGGGCGGCGGGACAAAGGCGGCAGGAAUGUGGCUCUCUUCGGGGAGUGUUAUAGCCUGCUGUGCAAUGCCGCCAGCUCCGACUGAGGUCCGCGGUUCUGCCUAGGAUGCUGGCUUAAUGGUUGUAAGCGAC
rnacentral:rRNA from 1 species